rnacentral:lncRNA from 1 species
AACAAUUUUAAGCUCAAACACAAUGUUAUAAGGUAAGAUAAGAACUAAUGUCACAAUAUUACAGGUAAAUCGUUUUUUUUCUUCCUGUUUUUCAAUUUUUAUCACUAUAAUAUUUUCUAUUCCAAAUCUUUAAGAUCCUCAUCCAUUGGUAUGGUAUAGAAGAAGUGUUCAAUUUGCUCGACUGCAUUAUCCUCGCCCUGUGUCUUGUUUCCUCUCUUUAUUGGAGCUAGGCUCUCCUUGUAAUUGAAAACCCAACAGCCAGCAAUGUUAAGGUCCAGCUGAAAUCCAAGAUCUGUAACUUGUCUUGUUGUAGGGUCAUAUAGCACCAGCUGUGAAGUUUCUGUGAUCUCAAAAACCAUGUUAUCGUUAUCCCAGAUGUUGCGAGGCCAAUGAGCAUCUAUAUGAGGUUGUACAGUUAGAACUUUGGACCAAAUUCCCUCUUGUUCAUACCCACACAUCAUAUAUGGAUGUCAUAGGUUUGCCAGGGUCACCGGUUAAUAAAGCAAGUGAGUUGCCACGCAAUGUAAGCGUCCCCCAAUGUUCACUUGGAAUAUCUGGGACUUGCAUCUCCCUAAACUGUUCGCUGCCCAUGUCAAAAGAGCGAAUCGUGUAGAUCUCAUCAAGGCCCCUAGAAAGCCAAUAAUAAACCCCGUUGAGAUAAGUGGCAUCAAGGGGUGCAGAUAAGGUAGAACUGGAAGGGAAUUCAGGAGUUAGGUGUUUCCAUGAGUUGUUGCAUGAGGAAUAAACACAGGCAUAGACACGAGGACAAACACCUUGUCCCGGUUCAUCCCAGAAUACUCGAAUCCAUACAACCUUAUAAUCUUGAGUCAACAGGUCAAAUCCCAAUCCGAACUGAUGAUCAUGGUCCGAGAAAAAGUACUCAAUCUCAAAAGGCGCAGGCGGCAGAGACCUGAACUCUCUGGUGGCAGGAUUCCACAAACCCAAGCAGACAUUGUCUCCAUAAAACUUCUUCUGCACUAAGAAUAAGCCAUCAACUGGACCAGCAACACACGUGAAAUCAGCGACCCUCGGAAGCUGAAGGAGAGUUUUUUGUUCAGGGGUCACACCUGGAACAAUUUCUUCAGGGAGCAAGGAGAAUACAACAGACCUUACGAUGGCGUCUACUUCACGUGCUACUUUCAAGUUGCAAACAAGGAGACGGGCACGAUUGUUCUUGUGAUGAAAAUGUUUUUCUAUGAAACUCGGACUUUUGAUGAGAGCAUACCAGUGCUUGCACACACAUUUGAAAAGCAAGAGUGAUUCCACUGGCAAUCUCAAUAGAAUAUCAACUACUAGAUCUUCUGGUAAAGGACAGCGACCAUCCAUACUGGUGGAAAUAUAAGUAGAAUGAGGCAACUUACAAACAUAUUGAAAGAGAGCAGAUCUAGAAAACAUGCAUUAAUAGAACACACAGUGCAACAAAAAAGAUCAAGUAGUAGCAUUACCAUGUGAAGCAAAAAAGGGGAAGUUACAAAUUUGACCACUCAGCCACAAAUAUUUACAUCCGCAAGCCAUUACACAUAUAUUAUGGGUAUACAUAUUUUUAAAAAUAUUUUGACAAAUCUUCUUGUAGAUCAAUUUUGGAGAAAAGAUCCAAAAUAGUUCCUUAUGUUUGGCUUCAGACUCAAGGUCAUCCCUUCCCUUUCUUUUAUAUGGUGCACUAAUAGUCCUUUAAGUUUCAAGUAUUAGUGCACUUUUAAUCUCUUCAUUAACAUCCAUUUACUCAUUAACGUUUUGAUCCUUUACACAUCCAUUUAUGGCCUCCGCUGUAUACGUUCUGGUAUAACACAAAUUAAUUCUUAGAUUUAUCUUAGCAGUUGCAGAUGAGUCUUCAUUUGUACUUGUUUUAUUUUUUGGCUCUGCAUCUUUCAUUGUUUGGUGUGCACCAUUCAAGAUUUGCUAAUUCUUUAACUUUCUCCUCUAUUUUCCAUACGCAAUUAAUAAGCUGACUAUAAGUCUUUGGGUUUUCCUGAAUAAAAGCUGACUAUAUAUCUGAAACAUAACCAAAGAAUAAAAUAAAAACAAGAAAAAAGGAAAAAUAUAAUACAUACUUAGUCUUCGUGUAUCAAUAUCUCAAAUUAGCAUCGGAUAAAAGUGCACUAAUACUUAAAACUUUGGAGGACUAUUAGUGCACCAAUUGAUGAUUUCGAAUCUAAAGCCAAAAAUAAAGGACUAUCUUGUAUUUUUUCUUUCGAUUUGGGCUGAUAUGGUUUGGACGGAUCAAUAAUCAGCCAAAUAGAGUCAAUAAGAGGAGACUAGUAAAGAAGUAGUCAUGCGGUUUUCUAGUCUUUUCAUUAACUAGUCAAUAAUUAUUUUUAAAGCUACAUAUCAAGUUAGCAUAUAGAGCAAUUUUGCAGGUAAUUUAAGGAUUAAGGAGCAUGAAACAGUAAUUACCCUUUUCUACUAAUAUCAAUCUACAAAUCCUUGGAAAUGGAACAAUUUUAACUUGCCCAAUAUUGAAAUGUAAAAGAUGGAAAGAAAUAAAAAGAAUUAGCAUAAACAGAAACAAUGACAGCAAAACCCUAUAUCCAUCCCCAAAUAGCACAAAUUCAGAUUCAGAUUCAGAUUCAAAUUCAAAAAAAUAAUCAGAAAUCUAACCUUAUAAGCUGAUGAAGAAGAAGUGCCGCAAUUACGACAAGGUAAAAAUGGAAAAAGAGAUUGGAUUGAUUGAGUGGUGUUGUAGAAAUACCUCCAACAGUUGACUACUUCCUCACUUUCCUACACUUCUUUUGUCAUUUUAGUUUAUAUAACUCCCCUUAAUUCCUUUUAUCCAAGUUUUUAAUACCAAGGGAUAUGAUGGAGUAAUAAGUACUUAUUCAUUGUUAAUUAGAGGUCUUGGAUUUGAAUCUUUUGGCUAUGAAGUCAUCCGUGUUAGGGAGCACUUUACCCAUAAUGUGAGAUUUUUCGACUGGGCUCUAAUAUGGAUACCGAACAUUGAGCGAUUUUUCUUUUUUUACCUUAGUGGUCAUUUGGUAGGUGGAUAAAGCUACAUCUAAUACAUGAAUCACUACAAGAAAAGUGCUGAUUACCUGGGAAUUAUUGUAGAGAAUAUAUGAUAACCCUAAUGGGUGGAGGGAGGACCAAUUUAUAGAGGUUAUGAUUUAAUCUGGUAUAUCCAUCAAGUAACCAAUGUACGGACGAGAUCUAUUCCUUAUUAAAUAUUAUUUAUGGUAUUACUUGCGUUACUAGUAAACUUGAGCCAUAAGUAAGAAAUAAUUAAUAAUAAUUAAUAAUAAUUCUUACACUUCGGGGUGCCUUCGCCAUAGUUCAAGUCUGGAGUCGGCCAUUUCAGUUCUUGAAAGCUUUUAAUCUAGCUAGUGUUAUUCAUAGUACUUCCGUGUACUUAUCGACCUUAUGUGAGUCCAAACUCGUUUGAGUUAUACAUUUACUUUCUAAUUGUGCACGAGUAUACAUACUUUCUAGGCUUAUAGAGGUCCAGUUAGGUUAUAGAUUAUUGCUUUACUUUACUACUUCGUUCUUUUCAGACUCGUGAGCUAUAUAGUUAGACUUUCCGUUAUUGCUUUGUUCAUUUGACCUCUAAUUACUGUUACUUUCAUAUUCUUCAUAUUGUUUUUACUUUCCAAGUUCAGUUGACCUAUGAUGCCUACUGGACACCUGUUGUUCUGAUAUUCAUGCUACACUCCACAUCUGUUUUCUUGAUGUGGAUUUGAGCGCCAGCCGACAACGGUGAUUGGAGCCUAAGUAAUGCGGAGAUCUUCUGAGAUGAAUGGUGAGCUAAUGGCGUCCUAGUUCGACUUAUCUCCAUAUGUAUAUAAUUUUUUACAUGUCUUUUGUAUUCGAGACAAAUUUAUUAAGUUAGUCAAUAGCAUAGGCUCGAAACUAUGACUAGAACAUUGAGUGCAUGACAUGCACAUCUUACUCCUUACUUUCCUUAUUCGUGCCUGUUUUUUUCAUACUUUCUAACUUUCACUAGUACAUUAUCCCUUGUUAAGGAAAAUUAUGUAAACAAAAUAGUAAAUGGCCUGAUCCACUUAAGAGUGAGGGCUAGUUCAUUGAUUGAUACAGCUAAAUCACAUUAAAUAAUAAAUACGGAGGAGGGCCUAAAAUACCCUUCAAGUAUAGGUAAUGGAACAAAAAUACCCUCUUCCACCUUUAGGCUCCAAAAUACCCUUCCAUCCAUCUAUAUGGACCUAUAUUACCCUUUCACUUAACAGAUUCUUUAAGACUAAUAAUUAAUCUUUUCAUUAAUGAUGUGACAGUCUUUAAUUGGUUGAAAUUGGAAUUAACCAAAAUAAGAAUUUCUCUUAAUUAAACCCAGAUCCAACUAAAUUCCACCCGACUCACUUAAAAUUCUAUUGACCCAUAUCUUAAAUAAUCAAACUUCAAUCAACAACUUGCUCCAGUUAUUUUUAAUCCCAGUCAAAAAAGAGGUACAUUAGACCAUAAACAACAUGAAACUUCCGAAAAUUCCCUGGAAACAUUCCAAGAAGGAAGAAGUGAAAUACAAGAUCAAGUGCCACUAUAAUCAUAUACCAAUAUACACCAUAUUUUGAAACACUAUGAAAAGUCCAGCAAAUCUCCAAUCUCUGGGAAACAUAAACUCAAAGCGGUAAAAUUUCUCAAAAUCCGAAACCCUAGAGUUCAAAAAUUAUUUCACUUCUUUCUUUUUUGCGAUUCAUAUAAAGCACCGCACGCAAAAAGCAAAACCAACAUAAUUUUGGGAAAUUCUCAAAGCAGAAUCAUGGAAUAGAAUAUAAAAAAAAAAUAAAAAAUUUAGCCAUAGCAAGAGAUUAUAUACUUGAUGAAGAAAAGCGAUAGAUAUCGCUUUUCUUCAUCUGCAAAUUUUACGAGAAAAUUAUAUGGAGAGAAAUUCAGUGUACAGAGAAAAAAAAGGAAACUCACCGCUACACACUCGAUUCUUCUUGUUUUUUUUUAAAGAUAUGGGUCAGUAAAAUUUUACGUGGGUUGGGUAGAGUUUAGUUGGAUCCGGGUUUGAUUUGGAGAAAUUAUUGUUUUUGCUUAAUCUAAAUUCCAGCCAAUUAAAGAUUGUCACAUCAUUAAUGAAAAGAUUAAUUAUUACUCAUAAAAAAUCUGUUAAGUGAAAGGGUAAUAUAGGUCCAUAUAGAUGGAUGAAAGGGUAUUUUUGAGCCCAAAGGUGGAUGGAGGGUAUUUUUGUUCCAUUCCCUAUACUUGAAGGGUAUGUUAGGCCCUUCUCCGUAAUAUAUAUUACAUUUUUGAACUGUUAAACUAGAAACAAGAUUUAGGAUUUUUCAAGUGGACCAAAAUACAGAUAUUGAUGCCGAGUACUUAAAGUCUGUUGCUUGCCGAUACUCUAAAAGUAGUAGUGUAUUUUUGGAGAAUCUAACAUGAGUGGAGAGUACACGCGCAACUUAGCUUAAAUUGUGUUGGUCCAAAAGGAAUGCCCCUUGAUACCAUAAACAAAAAAUACCAUGUCAGCUUUUUAUUCAAUAAUAGUACAAAGAUGACUGAUCCAAACAAUUUUAAGCUCAAACACAAUGUUAUAAGAAGACAAGAUACGAACUAAUGUCACAAUAUUACAGGUAAAUCGUUUUUUUUUCUUCCUGUUUUUCAAUUAUUAUCAUUAUAGUAUUUUGUAUUCCAAAUCUUAACGAUACUCAUCCAUUGGUAUGGUAUAGAAGAAGUGUUCAAUUUGCUCGACCUCGCCCUGUGUCUCGUUUCCUCUCUUUAUUGGAGCUAGGCUCUCCUUGUAAUUGAAAACCCAACAGCCAGCAAUGUUAAGGUCCAGGUGAAAUCCAAGAUCUGUAACUUGUCUUGUUUUAGGGUCAUAUCGCACCAGCUGUGAAGUUUCUGUGAUCUCGAAAACCAUCUUAUCAUUAUCCAAGAUGUUGCGAGGCCAAUGAGCAUCUAUAUGAGGUUGUACAGUUAGAACUUUGGACCAAUUUCUGUCUUGUUUCAUUACCCACACAUCGUAUAUGGAUGUCAUUGGUUUACCAGGGUCUCCGGUUAACAUAGCAAGUGAGCCGCCAUGCAAUGUAAGUGUCCCCCAAUGUUCACUUGGAAUAUCUGGGACUUGCAUCUCCCCAAACUGUUCGCUGCCCAUGUCAAAAGAGCGAAUCGUGUAGAUCUCAUCAAGGCCCCUACAAAGCCAAUAAUAAACCCCGUUGAGAUAAGUGGCGUCAAGGGGUGCAGAUAAGGUAGAACUGGGAGGGAAUUCAGGAGUAAGGUAUUUCCAUGAAUUGUUGCAUGAGGAAUAGACACAGGCAUAGACACGAUUAUUAGCACCUUGUCCCAGUUCAUCCCAGAACACUCGAAUCCAUACAACCUUAUAAUCUAGAGUCAACAGGUCAAAUCCCAAUCCGAACUGAUGAUCAUGGUCCGAGAAAAAGUACUCAAUCACAAAAGGCGCAGGAGGCAGAGACCUGAACUCUCUGGUGGCAGGAUUCCACAAACCCAAGCAGACAUUGUAUCCAUAAAACUUCUUCUGCACUAAGAAUAAGCCAUUAACUGGACCAGCAACACACGUGAAAUCAGUGAUCCGAAGCUGAAGGAGAGUUUUUUGUUCAGGGGUCACACCUGGAACAAUUUCUUCAGGGAGCAAGGAGAAUACAACAGACCUUACGAUGGGGUGUACACGUGCUACUUUCAAGAUGCAAACAAGGAGGCGGGCACAAUUAUUCUUGUGAUGAAAAUGUUUUUCUAUGAAACUCGGACUUUUGAUGAGAGCAUACCAGUGCUUGCACACACAUUUGAAACGCAAGAGUGAUUCCACUGGCAAUCUCAAUAGAAUAUCAACUACUAGAUCUUCUGGUAAAGGACGGCGACCAUCCAUACUGGUGGAAAUAUAAGUAGAAUGAGGCAACUUACAAACAUAUUGAAAUAGAAUAGAUCUAGAAAACAUGCAUUAAUAGAACACACAGUGCAACGAAGAAGAUCAAGCAGCAGCAUUACCAAUGUGAAGCAAAAAAGGGGAAGUUACACAUUUGACCACUCGGCCACAAAUAUUUAUAUCCGCAAGCCAAUACACAUAUUAUGGGUAAACAUAUUUUUAAAAAUAUUUUGACAAAAUUUCUUGUAGAUCAAUUUGGGAGAAAAGAUCCAAAAUAGUUCUUUAUGUUUGGCUUCAGACUCAAAGUCAUCCCUUCCCUUUCUUUUAUAUGGUGCACUAAUAGUCCUUUAAGUUUCAAGUGUUAGUGCACUUCUAGUCUCUUGAUUAACAUCCAUUUACUCAUUAACGUUUUGAUCCUUUACACAUCCAUUUAUGGCCUCCGCUGUAUACAUUCUGGUACAAAACAAAUUAAUUCUUAGAUUUAUCUUAGCAAUUGCAGAUGAGUCUUCAUUUGUACUUCGUUUUAUAUUUUGGCUCUGCAUCUUUCAUUGUUUGGUGUGCAGUAUUCAAGAUUUGCUAAUUCUUUAACUUUCUCCUUUAUUUUCGAUACACAAUUAAUAAGCUGACUAAGUCUUUGGGUUUUUCCUGAAUAAAAGUUUCUUGCGCUUUGCCUAUAUAUCUGGAGCAUAACCAAAGAAUAAAUAAAAACAAGAAAAAAGGAAAAAUAUAAUACAUACUUAGUCUUCGUGUAUCAAUAUCUCAAAUUAGCAUCGGAUAAAGGGUGUGUUCCGUAGAAAAUAGUUUCUAAUCAAAAUUUUUGGAAAAGAUUUUCUUAGGAAAACAAGUUCCAUACGUGACACUUCAAAAUUCAAAUGAAGAAAAUGACUUUCUAAAGGAAGUAGGGAAAACAAGUUUCAUAUGUGACAUUUCAAUUGAGUAUGUCCUCCCACUCUCUAAGACACCACAUAUUCACCUCACUCCCGUAGCUUCCAUACCCACUACCCUACACAUCUACCCCACCUCCGUCCCUCAUAGUAUUGUCUAGAUAAUACAUAAAUGCUUUUAGAAUAAUAUUAAAUUUUUUUUGCUUAUAUACCAAACACAAAAUAUACAUAAGAAUCUCACUUAUUUUCCUAGAAAAUAUUUUUCAAAAAAUAUUUUCCUUGGUACCGUACACACCCAAAGUUCCAAUGUCCUCGGAUAAUAUCAGCCAAAUAGAGUCAAUAAGAGGAGACUAGUAAAGAAGUAGUCAUGUGGUUUUCUAGUCUUUUCAUUAACUAGUCAAUAAUUAUUUUUGAGCUACAAAUCAAAUUAGCAUAUAGAGCAAUUUUGCAGGUAAUUUAAGGAGCAUGAAACAGUAAAUACCCUUUUCUGCUAAUAUCAAUCUACAAAUCCUUGGAAAUGGAACAAUUUUAACUUACCCAAUAUUGAAAUGUAAAAGAUGGAAAGAAGUAAAAAGAAUUAGCAUAAACAGAAACAAUGGCAGCAAAACCCUAUAUCCAUCCCCAAACAGCACAAAUUCAGAUUCAGAUUCAAAUUCAAAAUAAUAAUCAGAAAUCUAACCUUAUAAGCUGAUGAAGAAGAAGUGGCGGACAAGGAAAAAAUGGAAAAAGAGAUAUCGGAUCGAUUGAUUGGUGUUGUAGAAAUACCUCAACAGUUGACUACUUCCUCACACUUCUUUCGUCAUUUUAUUUUACUACUUCUUGGGAACGCGUUUGUUCCUCUCCUUUUUUUUUCUCGCGUGUGUUCCUUAUUAUUAUUAAAUUUUUAUAUACUAAAAAGUUGAGUUAUAAAAUAGAAAAUGCUGAAAUUAACAAUAGUAGUUUUAUCAUUUAUAUUUUAUUUACUAAAUAAUAAAAAAUAUAUACUGGAGCAUUUUUUGUUAACCUUCAUUUGUUGUUUCUCACUCUCUUUUCUUCUCAUGUUGAAAUUUGAUUGUGCAAUUACCUUCCUAUGAUAACAUCAAUCUUUGUGAAAUUGGUUCUUAAAAAGCAAAUUCAAAUUUUAAUUUUGGAAGUGUUUUUACAUAAUAGUGGAGAAUGAUUCUUCAUAUUCAACUUUUAAUUUUGAAUUGUAAUGAACAAUUACUAUUCAAAUACAAAUCUAGUUUAUUUUUAACCUUACAUUUAUUGAAUCUUUAAUGUGUACGUUAAUGAUAUAUAAUAAUUUAUUAAUUAGGUAUUUGAUUUAGUGUAGGGGCAAAAUGGUAAUUCAACUAUACACUUUCGAGUUUUCACUUUUAAUAAGUAAUUAUAAUAUAUACAAAAGAUUAAACCAUUUGAUAUUAAAAAAAUAUAUGUAUGAGUAAUAAUUAACAUUCAAUGGCAAAAGAAUGUAUCACAUUCUCAUAAACAAUAUCUCUAAGGCAAAAGUAGACAUUCUAAUUUGGACAAUUACUACUUAACUACUUAUGGGUUCAGCCAAUAAUCUGGAGAUAGGAGUUUGACAAUUUUUCAGCCAUAGUUAAAAUUCUACAUCAAUAAUAAAUAGCUUCUUAUCACAGUAAAUAGACAUUUGAAUAAUUAAUAUAAAUUGAGCAACACAAACUUUUCAAAAUGACUUAUUCUAGAUAUAUAAUAGGGAAAAGGGUCAAAAUUACCCCUCAGUUUUGUUUUAUUGGUUAACUUUAUCCUUACCAUUAAAAACAAGUUAUUUUUACCCCUGUCGUCAAUAAACUUAACAAAUAUACCCCUCCUUGAACGGAAACCCCCAAAUCAAUUGAAAUUACCCGAUUUUAAUUGAAAUUAUCCAAUUUCUUUUUUAACCCGAACUAGAACCCAACCCACUAAACUAAACAAAUUAACCCAUUUCCAAUCUUCUUCAUCUCAGUGUUCUUGGCUAAGUACCCUAAGAACACUCACAAUCUUUAUCAUAGCUAACACAUAAAUCCUACAUUGUCUGACAAAAUCAAUUGAAAAGGUUCGUUGGUUGAAUGUAUAACAAGUAAAUUAUUUUUGCUGAACAACAUCCCGCCUCUCUCUGUUGUGGGGUUCAGCGAAGAACAAGCCACAGAGCAAGUAAAUGGAAAAGUUUCAAUUUACACAUCAUCAUUCAAUCCAAUGAAGAAAACCAUUUCUAGGUACCAACCAAAUUACUUUUUGAUUUGUUGUCAGUAGGCUGCCCCUAAAUGUGUACCCAAUAGUACAUCUAAUUCUUCUUUACCUGGCUCGUAAAUCAAUUCAGUGGCCCUCCAUGAUUCUUGUAUGUGCACGUAAAAUUAAGCUACAAUGGAGGGGAGGUUUUUCUUUUCUCUAUCUUUUUAUUUGUUCAAAAUGUUUCCAAUAUAUCAUCAUAUUUGAUGAGUACUGGAUAUUUGAUGAUUACUGAUUUCUUGUAUGUAGCAAAUCAUGUGAUUGAACGACUGCAGUGUUUAGCCUAGGCAACCUUCAACAAACAAUUUGGAGAUAAAUAUCAGGUCUUUUCGAUUGAUUUUGUUAGACAAUGUAGAAUUUGUGUUAGCUAUGAUAAAGAUUGUGAGUGUUCUUAGGGUACUUAGCCAUGAACACUGAGAUGAAGAAGAUUGGAAAUGGGUUUAUUUGUUUAGUUUAGUGGGUUGGGUUCUGGUUCAGGUUAAAAAAGAAAUUGGAUAAUUUCAAUUAAAAUUGAAUAAUUUCAAUUGAUUUGGGGAUUUCCGUCCAAGGAGGGAUAUAUUUGUUAAGUUUAUUGACGGCAGGGGUAAAAAUAACUUGCUUUUAACGGUAAGAGUAAAAUCAACCAAUAAAAUAAAGUUGAUGGGUAAUUUUGACCCUUUUCUCUAUAUAACAUAUAUGGACAAUUUGAGGAAUGAAUGUUUCAACACAUGAAUAAUAGACUAAUAAGGUCAAUAGAUUAUACAUAUAAAUGAAAAGUUAAAUAAAAAUACAGCCUCAAAAUCACAUACUAUGAUCCAUCAUUUAUCUCCAAUUCGGUGGCCCAGUUUAUUUUAGGGUAUGGAUUCUUUUAUUUUUAAAAAAAAAACAUAUUUGAUUUUUCUCAUUUAGUUAUUCCUCUCCCUACUCAUAAAUAAUAAUCUCGAAAAAAUAUUUUUACUAAAGUAGAACACUCUAUCAAGAGCCAAAUAAACAUAUCAAAUUAACUAAUUAAUCUUUCAUCAAUUAUUGAUAGAACAUGAAUUGUAUAUCACUACUUUCUUCAUGUAGGAUACAAGAUAUUUCAAUAGAAAAACAAAAUCAUAAGAAAGCAUAUCAAAAUAUAAAAAAAGGACAUAUAAAAUACUUUGGCUGGACAAGGAGGAGCGGAUAAAAACAAAAGGAAAUUACUGCACAUACAAAAUGAUGAGCAAGAUUAGUUUUUUGCAGGAUAGUCUCUCAUCCUCCUCUUAUCAUUUACAUGAAAACCAUGCUAGGCAUUUUAUAGCAAUAGCUAGGAUGACCUUUGAGUAGAUAAUUAAUUUGCAUUAAUUUAGUUUAAUGAUUUUAGUCCAUAUCAAAUUUAUUUAAUGGAAAACUCUUCAAAUACUCUUGAUUUUACAGAAAAAGAGAAAUUGACUAUUAAUGUGAAUUUGAUUCAUGUACCAAUUUAAAUGAGUUUAAUCUAAGGAAGUGAAAAAAUCAUUAACAUUUUUAUUAAAACGAUACAAUUUAAUAUUUAAAUUAAAUAGUUAAAUAUUUUAUAACAUUUUAAUUUAUAAUAGGGGUAAAACGGUAAUUCAACUUUUAACUUUUUUUAUUCCCGCUUAUAGUAAUAUAUGAUACAACUCCUCUUAAUUCCUUUUAUCUAAGUUUUUAAUUAUGUGGUGGAGUAAUAAGUACUUAUUCAUUCUUAAUUAGAGGUUCCAGUUUGAGUCUUUUUGGCUAUAAAAUCAUCUCUGUUAGAGCGCUUUACCCAUAAUCUAAGAUUUUUCGACACAAAUUCAAAUUUAGUGAGGCUCUAAUAUGGAUAUCGAACACUGAGGGGAAAAUAAAAAUAAAAAUUACCUUAGGGGUUAUUUGGUAGGUGGAUAAAGCUACAUCUAAUACAUGAAUAACAAAGUUAUUUAUGUAUUUAAUUUAUAUAAUGUUUGUAUAAAAGUUAUUCAUAUAUUAACAAAGAUGUUUCUCUCUACGAUAUGUUCCCACAGGAGAAAGAGUUUGUUACUUGAAGAGGGGGGGGGGGGAUGUUGNNNNNNNNNNNNNNNNNNNNNNNNNNNNNNNNNNNNNNNNNNNNNNNNNNNNNNNNNNNNNNNNNNNNNNNNNNNNNNNNNNNNNNNNNNGAAGGGGGGGGGGGGGUAUUUGGAGUCUUUUAGCCACAGUUCGAAGCCCUGACAUAUCGAUCUCUUUUAGCCACGGUUCAAGGUCCCAACGUAUUUUGUUUUGCCACGGUUCAAGGUCCCGACGUAUUUUAUUUUGCCACGGUUCGAGGCCCCAUCAUAUCUCUAUUCGCCUUGGUUCGAAUCCUAACAUGUGGUUCAUUUGGGUUCUUCGGGGUGCCUUCACCAAAGUUCAAGUCUAGAGUCAGCCAUUUUAAGUUCUUGAAAGCUUUUAAUAUAACUAGUGUUAUUCAUAGUACUUCUGUGUACUUAUCAGGCUUAUGUGAGUCCAAACUCGUUUGAGUUAUUUACUUUCCAAUUGCGCACAGGUAUACAUACUUUCUGGGCUUAUAGGGGUCCAGUUAGGUUAUAGAUAAUUGUUUUACUUUACUACUUUGUUCUUUCCAGACUCGUGAGCUAUAUAGUUAGACUUUCCGUUAUUACUUUGUUCAUUUGACCUCUAAUUACCGUUACAUUCAUAUUUUUCAUAUUGUUUUUACUUUCCAUGCCCAGUCGACCUAUGAUGCUACUGGGCACCUGUUGUUUUGAUAUUAUGCUACACUCCACAUCUGUUUUCUUGAUGUAGAUUUGAGCGCCAGCUGAUAAUGGUGAUUCGAGCCUAAGAAAUGCGGAGAUCUUCUGAGAUGAAGGGUGAGCUGAUGGCAUCCUAGUUCGACUUAUCUCCAUAUGUAUAUAGUUUUUUAAUGUCUUUUGUAUUCGAGACAAGUCUAUUAAGUUAGUGAAUAGCAUAGGCUCGAAACUAUGACUAGAACAUUGAGUGCAUGACAUGCACAUCUUACUCCUUAUUUUCCCUAUUCGUACCUGUUUUUUUCAUACUUUCUAACUUCACUGGUACAUUAUUCCUUGUUAAGGAAAAUUAUGUAAACAACUAGUUCUUUGAUUGAUACAACUAAUUCACAUUAAAUAAUAACUAGAAUCUUAUUACAUUUUUGAACUGUUAAACUAGAAACAAGAUUUAGGAUAAGGGAACUAUUUAUUAACUUCACUUCUCCUUAUUAGUGUCAAAAGUUUCUCGUUUAGGAAAUAUGAAGUUUUGAAGGACUAAUAGUAUAUUAUCCUUUUUUAAAAUUGAACUCUAUCCAAUGGUUGAUUCUAUUUAUGAAUCAAUUCCUUAGGUGCAUUAUUUCCAUAGGUUUCAACAUUGGUAACAAAAUCUAGCUUUCUCGCUUAAAUUGACAUAUUUCUAUACUUCCCUCAUCUUAUCUAUCACUGAGGCCGCUCCCAUCUUAUCCCUUAUAUCCUUAUUUAUAAUUUUUAUCGCUCCGAGUAUGAACGUGCAUCCACCUCAAUAUAUAUUCACAUCUCUGCAACAUGCAUCUUCUAGACAUGGGACUUGACUGGCCAACUCUCAUUUCCAUACAACAAUUACAUACACACUCUAUAUAAAUACACACAUACAUAUAUUGAUGGAAAAAUCAUCAACAGAUGAAACUUAAGCAAUACUCCCUCCAUCUCAAUUAAUGUGACAGUCGGAAUUUUGUCUUUUAAAUUGUUAAUUAUUGUGAUUUACCAUUUUUCACAUAAUUUUCAAAUACAUAAAUUUUAUAUCAAAAAAACUUAAAGUUUCUGUAUCCGAAUUUACUAUUAAAUUAUAGAAGUUUGAAUCUCAAAAUUUCAACUAAUGCCACAUAAAUUAAAUCAACUCCAACACUCAGAAAAGCUACAAAAGUUCAAACAUAGAAAGUAAAAAAAAAUUUAAAAAAGAAAUAGAAAAAACCUUGAGAUAAUAUGUCUUGCUAAUUUCCUCUUCAGAUGCUAAUUAAAGGACUUACACCAAGAACAUCAUAAUACUCUGUGUCUUUCACCAUUUUCUUUUCUUUUUCCAAAAUCCCUAUUAACAAAAAAUUUACUCUUUUACCUCCUCCAAUACUCUAAUUACCUUUUUUUUCGCGCUUCUAAAAUCUUAAUACAAGAGCGAAAAACCACUUGAGUGUAAGGAAAGGAAACAAGCCAAACGAAAAAAAAAAAAAAAACUCUCAAAAUUAUAUGAUCAAGAAAACUUGCAAGUACAAAAGGAGAAAGAGGAGGGGGUGGGUGGGGUAUGAUGAAAAGAAUGUCUCAGAAUAAGAGAGUGCCCCAACGAGACAAAGCUGCCUUUCCAGUUCUGAUCAACAAAUUAAUUACGGAAAAUCUGUUGCUUGUCGAUACUCUAAAAGCAGUGUAUUUUUGGAAUUAAGAGGAGUUGUAUAAACUAAAAUGACAAAAGAAGUGUAGGAAAGUGAGGAAGUAGUCAACUGUUGAGGUAUUUCAACAACACCACUCAAUCAAUCCAAUAUCUCUUUUUCCAUUUUUACCUUGUCGUAAUUGCGGCACUUCUUCUUCAUCAGCUUAUAAGGUUAGAUUUCUGAUUAUUUUUUUGAAUCUGAAUCUGAAUCUGAAUUUGUGCUAUUUGGGGAUGGAUAUAGGGUUUUGCUGCCAUUGUUUCUGUUUAUGCUAAUUUUUUUUAUUUCUUUCCAUCUUUUACAUUUCAAUAUUGGGUAAGUUAAAAUUGUUUCUUUUCCAAGGAUUUGUAUAUUGAUAUUAGUAGAAAAGGGUAAUUACUGUUUCAUGCUCCUUAAAUUACCUGCAAAAUUGUUCUAUAUGCUAACUUGAUAUGUAGCUCAAAAAUACCUAUUGACUAGUUAAUGAAAAGUCUAGAAAACCACAUGACUACUUCUUUACUAGUCUCCUCUUAUUGACUCUAUUUGGCUGAUUAUUGAUCCGUCCAACCCAUUUCAACCCAAAUCGAAAGAAAAAAUCCAAGAUAGUCCUUUAUUUUUGGCUUUAGAUUCGAAAUCAUCAAUUGAUGCACUAAUAGUCCUCCAAAGUUUUAAGUAUUAGUGCACUUUUAUCUGAUGCUAAUUUGAGAUAUUGAUACACGAAGACUAAGUAUGUAUUAUAUUUUUCCUUUUUUCUUGUUUUUAUUUUAUUCUUUGGUUAUGCUCCAGAUAUAUAGGCAAAGCACAAGAAACUUUUAUUCCGGAAAAACCCAAAGACUUAUAGUCAGCUUAUUAAUUGCUUAUGGAAAAUAGAAGAGAAAGUUAAAGAAUUAGCAAAUUUUGAAUGGUGCACACCAAACAUUGAAGAUGCAGAGCCAAAAAAUAAAACAAGUACAAAUGAAGACUCAUCUGCAAUUGCUAAGAUAAAUCUAACAAUUAAUAUGUUUUGUACCAGAACGUAGACAGUGGAGGUUAUAAAUGGGUGUGUAAAGGAUCAAAACGUUAAUGAGUAAAUGGAUGUUAAUGAAGAGACUAAAAAUGCACUGACACUUGAAACUUAAAGAACUAUUAGUGCACUAUAUAAAAGAAAGGGAAGGGAUGACUUUGAGUCUGAAGCCAAACAUAAGGAACUAUUUUGAAUCUUUUCCAAACAAUGUUAAGCUCAAACACAAUGUUAUAAAAAGGUAAGAUAAGAACUAAUGUCACAAUAUUACAGGUAAAUCGUUUUUUUUUCCUGUUUUUCAAUUUUUAUCACUAUAAUAUUCUGUAUGUCAAACUCUAAGAUCCUCAUCCAUUGGUAUGGUAUAGAAGUAGUGUUCAAUUUGCUCGACUGCAUUAUCCUCACCCUGAGUCUCGUUUCCUCUCUUUAUUGGAACUAGGCUCUCCUUGUAAUUGAAAACCCAACAGCCAGAAAAGAUAAGGUCCAGCUGAAAUCCAAGAUCUGUAACUUGUCUUGUUUCAGGGUUAUAUAGCACUAGCUGUGAAGUUUCUGUGAUCUCGAAAACCAUCUUAUCGUUAUCCCAGAUGUUGUAAGGCCAAUGAGCAUCUAUAUGAGGUUGAAGAGUAAGAACUUUGGACCAAUUUCCCCCUUGUUUCAUUACCCACACAUCGUAUAUGGAUGUCAUUGGUUUGCCAGGGUCACCGGUUAAUAUAGCAAGUGAGCCGCCAUGCAAUGUAAGCUUCCCCCAAUGUUCACUUGGAAUAUCUGGGACUUGCAUCUCCCCAAACUGUUCGCUGCCCAUGUCAAAAGAGUGAAUCGUGUAGAUGUCAUCAAGGCCCAUAGAAAGCCCAUAAUAAACCCCGUUGAGAUAAGUGGCGUCAAGGGGUGCAGAUAAGGUAGAACUGGGAGGGAAUUCAGGAGUAAGGUGUUUCCAUGAAUUGUUGCAUGAGGAAUAGACAUAGGCAUAGACACGAUUAUUAGCACCUUGUCCCGGUUCAUCCCAGAACACUCGAAUCCAUACAACCUUAAAAUCUUGAGUCAACAG